rnacentral:tRNA from 1 species
GCUGGGGCUGGGGCUCAGUGGUAGAGCACUCGCCUAGCACGUGCGAGGCCCUGGGUUCGAUACUCAGCACCACAUCA